GAAGCCUGAUCGUAGCGAUUGGUUUUGCC
rnacentral:sRNA from 1 species